CAGGCUGGUCGGGCAGCCGCGGUCCUGCGUUGACGGGAUCGAGGAAAGUCCGCACUCCUAUAGAGCACGGCGUCGGAGAGUACCCCGGGGUGGGGAAGCCGCCGAAAGGCGCGAACCUGCCGGAAUGGGCCACAGAAACAAACAGCCCCGCCUCGCGCGGGGUGAUGGUGAAAAGGUGGUGUAAGAGACCACCGGCGCGCGCAGUAAUGCGCGCGGCCAGGUAACCCCCGCCGGGAGCAAGGCCAAGCAGGGACGAUUUCGUCUGUGGACGAUGGGAGGCUGCUCGUCUCCAUACGCGCCCUUCCCUUCUGUGGGUUGGGCCAGUCCCGGGUAGGCUGCACCGAGCGGAACGGCGACGUUCCGCCCAGAGAGAUGGCUGCCCAAUGGCGCAUCGCGCCAUGGACAGAAUGCGGCUUAUAGACCAGCCUGGAGC
rnacentral:RNase_P_RNA from 2 species